CAGUGAGAAAUUAAGGGAUCAUCGUGUUUCACAGAAAAUCAAACCUUUCUCGUGAUUCGCUUGUCAUCUGGGGUUAUUUCUCAAUUCUGGUGUAGCUUUGUCACAUUUCCACUCUAUGUUAUUGUUGCUCAGAUGGGUUCCAGAUACCAGAAGACAAUUGUUUCAGAGAAUGUUAGGAAGUC